rnacentral:rRNA from 1 species
GUAGGUGGCAAGCGUUGUCCGGAAUUAUUGGGCGUAAAGCGCGCGCAGGCGGUCCUUUAAGUCUGAUGUGAAAGCCCACGGCUCAACCGUGGAGGGUCAUUGGAAACUGGGGGACUUGAGUACAGAAGAGGAAAGCGGAAUUCCAAGUGUAGCGGUGAAAUGCGUAGAGAUUUGGAGGAACACCAGUGGCGAAGGCGGCUUUCUGGUCUGUAACUGACGCUGAGGCGCGAAAGCGUGGGGAGCAAACAGGGAUAGAUACCCUGGUAGUCCACGCCGUAAACGAUGAGUGCUAAGUGUUAGGGGGUUUCCCGCCCCUUAGUGCUGCAGCUAACGCAUUAAGCACUCCGCCUGGGGGAUACGGCCGCAAGGCUG